UACAGAGGUCUCAACCGUUGUUCGGAUUUAUUGGGCGUAAAGGGUGCGUAGGUGGUUGCGUAAGUCGGAUGUGAAAUAUUGAGGCUCAACCUCAAAACUGCAUUCGAUACUGCGCGGCUUGAGCGCUGGAAAGGAGACUGGAAUUUACGGUGUAGCAGUGAAAUGCGUAGAUAUCGUAAGGAAGACCAGUGGCGAAAGCGAGUCUCUGGACAGAUGCUGACACUGAGGCACGAAGGCUAGGGGAGCAAACGGG
rnacentral:rRNA from 1 species